UUUCCACUUCAUCGAAAAAAAUCUGCCUGGUGACUGGGCAUGCCCAGUUCAACUAGUAACCUCCAAGCCACAGGGUCCUGGAGUUUCAUUGUUUUGCUGCUCCCUCUUUGGAUUGUGUCACUAGGAACAGCGUGGGCCUUUAGAGGCAGGAAAAAGAGUAAGGAUGGACACAUUAACUUUAUAGGUUGGAAUCCUAAACCUACUUCAACAUUUUUCAAACAGCAGGACAAAGCCAUUGGUGGUAUCAUGACUAUCAUUAAGAAAGAGAAAGAAGGAGAGGGGGAAAAGAAGAGAAAGGGCAGAGUAUGGAAAAUAUCAGAGUGUUUCACAUGGUAAAGGAAAUCAGCCAAAGAAUUCCAGAAGUGAAUGAAUUCAGGAGUAUAACAAAACAACAUUGAAAACAACUGACAGAGAUAGCAAAGGAAUACUGGAUUUUGUUUGUAUUUUUAUCAGUCAAAUCUAGUUUGAUUGGAUGCUAACUUUGAAAGAGACUGUGUUUAAUUUUACAAAGUAGCCAGGACAGUCUAAGAGCCACGAAUCCCAAAUCCCAGGAGCUGCCUGAUGAUAAUGCAGGUUCCCAGACCCAGGCCCCAACUUAUUGGAUCAGAAUUUUUCACAACUGGACCGGGAAAUCUGCACUUCAAGCAAGUUUCGCUUAUGAUUCUUAUACUAGAAUUUGGGAGUUUUAGACUCGACCUUAGUUCUCAACAUCUGUUUGUUGACUGCCAGUACUUAGAUUCGAAUGAUGUAAAAGGUUACUGCCUCCUUAACAUGCUUCCAGAGAAGGAGCACAAUUCUGUGGGUGAAAUUUCCCUACCCUGGGCCUCACCUUGCGCUUGUGCUUCAUCUCUCCUCAGUUCCAGCUUUGCCUGGCACUCCAUGCUGACUCCUCCUUUCCUUGACUUGCAAGGGUCCUGAAGGGUCAUUGAAAACUAUAUAUACCCUGAGGUCCCUAAAACAGUGCCGCCUCCUGUCUUCCCAGGCAGUGCUCUAGGCGGCUCCUUGAGCCUCUGACAAGAUUAAAUUCCCUGGCCCCACAUCCUCAAAGGGAACCUAACCUGCCUAAAGCUCCAUGAACCACACCCUUUCAGUGUUUUGUUAUUUCAGUGCUUGUACAAGCACACCUUGUAAUUGCAUUAACAGUGAGGGGGCCAGGGCAUUCUGUGAUCUUCCAACAGGAACCAACUUGUUUUUCCCAGCCUUCAAUCAAAUUUAAUCUGUGUGCACAUUCUUUACCCUAUGUGUGUUCUACACAGUUUUCCCACCACCAGUCCUUCAAUCUCUGUUAUCUACCUCUCCUUCUUCUUGUUGCUGCCACUUAAACUUAUCAGAGUGUAAUUAAUUUGCUCUUUGUAGCUCCCAGAUGACUAUUUGGGGAUGAAUUAGCCAUGCUCAGUAGCUAGAACCAGGGAUUGGGCUACGUUUGUUCAGCCAUCCCUUUCUGCCAGAUUCAUAGCAUGUCUGGUGCCAAGAUCCAGCCAUGUUGAAGAAGGUGAAAGUUAAGGGAAGGGAUUCCUGAAGCUUCAUGGUGAGGACACAGAAAAGAAAAGAUACAUCUCUCCCCCUUUGGGGAAAAGCCACAAGCUGCAAAGUGUCAGAGACUAGUUAGGGGUUGUCGCAGAUCUCCCAGAUGGAGUUACACGUUCUUGUGGACUCCUGCCAUUGCCCGUACACUCUCAAU